UAAACUACGAUUAGAUACCCUAUUAUUCUAAAUGUUAAAAGAAAGCCGGAGUAGUAAUAGUUAUGUUCUUGAAACUCAAAGAAUUUGGCGGUGUUUUAGUCCAUUCAGAGGAACCUGUCCCGUAAUCGAUACCCCACGUUUAUUUAACUUGAUUUAGUAUUCAGCUUGUAUACCGCCGUCAAAAGAGAAAUUCUAGAGAAUAUUUUCAAUCCCCUCGAAUAAGGGGUAUGUCAGGUCAAGGUGCAGUUUAUGGUCAAGGGGAGAUGGGUUACAAUAGUAUUAACUACACGAAAAUCUUUUUGUAAAAAAAGUUGGAAGGUGGAUUUGAGUGUAAUAAAGUUUAGGUUGAUUUUAUGAAAAUGGCUCUAAAACAAGCACACAUCGCCCGUCGCUC
rnacentral:rRNA from 1 species